GGGGGAUAACGUCCGGAAACGGACGCUAAUACCGCAUACGUCCUACGGGAGAAAGCAGGGGACCUUCGGGCCUUGCGCUAUCAGAUGAGCCUAGGUCGGAUUAGCUAGUUGGUGGGGUAAUGGCUCACCAAGGCGACGAUCCGUAACUGGUCUGAGAGGAUGAUCAGUCACACUGGAACUGAGACACGGUCCAGACUCCUACGGGAGGCAGCAGUGGGGAAUAUUGGACAAUGGGCGAAAGCCUGAUCCAGCCAUGCCGCGUGUGUGAAGAAGGUCUUCGGAUUGUAAAGCACUUUAAGUUGGGAGGAAGGGCAGUAAAUUAAUACUUUGCUGUUUUGACGUUACCGACAGAAUAAGCACCGGCUAACUCUGUGCCAGCAGCCGCGGUAAUACAAAGGGUGCAAGCGUUAAUCGGGAAUUACUGGGCGUAAAAGUGCGCGUAGGUGGUUCGUUUAA
rnacentral:rRNA from 1 species